GAGGAGCUGUCAAAGUCACCUGUGCGCAUGCACGUGUGAGUAGCUCAUCCGAGGACGCGCCGACAGAACAUUCUUCCAAAUCCUCAUUCCAGAAGCGUGCUGAAGUCACAACAAGGAGGGCACGAGCACUCGGCUGAUGGCGGCAACAAAGAGAGGCGGCGGCAUGCUGCGUGACCUGCAGGUGGCGUUGCAGCGGAAGAUUGAGGAGCUGACGGAGCGAGACGCGCUGAUUGAGGAGCUGGAGUCAGAACUGGAUGCCAAAGAUCUCCUGAUUGGCCAUUUGCGGGCCGAGCUGGACCGUCAUCGUAGUUUGAUGCCGGGCACCGACGAUACUGCCGCUGCACAGACACCCGACGCAGCAGGUGGCGCUCCAGCAAUGCCAGCACCGUCACUCGAUGAGCCUCAGCGCACCAAGAGACAGGCCAUAUCGGCAGAACCCAGCGCUCUGGAUCCUGCCCGACUCACCGACGUCACGCUCACCAGCUACUGCAAGAGCAAAGAGUCCAGCGAGCUGAUCCAGAGAGCGCUGAUGGACAAUGACUUCAUGAAGCAUCUGGAACAUGGACAGAUCCUCACCAUCUUGGACUGCAUGCGGCCCACCAGCCUGGACAAAGGCUGCUGCGUCAUCCAGGAGGGCGACGACGGAUCUAGCGUCUUUGUUCUGGAGGAGGGCAUGGUGGAGGUGAGCAAAGAAGGCAAAAAGCUGUGCACCAUCGGCCCCGGCAAAGUCUUUGGCGAACUCGCCAUCUUGUACAACUGCACGCGCACGGCUACAGUGACGGCUCUGACCGACAUCAAGUUGUGGGCCAUUGAUCGCCAGGGCUUUCAGACCAUUAUGAUGAGGACCGGCCUCAUCAAGCAUUCCCAGUACACGGACUUCCUGCGCAGCGUUCCGUCCUUCCAGGCCCUUCCAGAGGACGUUCUCAGCAAGCUGGCUGAUGUUCUGGAGGAGACUCACUAUAGCAAUGGCGACUACAUCAUCCGGCAGGGCGCCACGGGAGACACCUUCUUCAUUAUCAGUGAAGGGCAGGUGACGGUGUGGCAGCAGACCGCCCCCAGUGGUCAGCAGGUGCCGGUGAAGACGCUGUCCAAAGGCGACUGGUUUGGCGAGCAAGCGCUGAAAGGGGAAGAUGUGCGUACGGCCAGCGUGACAGCAGAGGGCGCCGUCACCUGUCUGGUGGUAGACAGAGAGUCCUUCAAGCAGCUGAUCGGCGGCUUAGAGGAAGUGGACCGCCAGCAGGGAGACGACGAGCACGUCAAAGCCAAGUGCCCGGCUGAGGACGACUUCUUCUCCGGCGUGACGCUCGACGACCUUGCCGUGGUCUGCACCUUGGGCAUGGGUGGCUUCAGCCGCGUGGAGCUGGUGCACCUCAAGAGAGACGCCGGGCGCUCCUUCGCCCUCAAAGUGUUGAAGAAGCGCCACAUUCUGGACACCAGGCAGCAGGAGCACAUCCUGUCGGAACGCCGCAUCAUGAUGGAAGUCAACAGCCCCUUCAUCAUCAGGUUGUACCGCACCUUCCGGGACCCCAAAUACUUGUAUAUGCUGCUAAAGGUUUGUCUUGGCGGAGAGCUGUGGACGCUCUUAAGAGACAGGGGCUCCUUUGACGACGGGACCACAAGAUUCUACACGGCGUGCGUUAUCGAGGCUCUGGCGGAGCUCCACUGUAAAGGGAUCAUCUACCGAGACCUCAAGCCGGAGAAUAUCAUCCUUGACCACAGAGGCUACGCCAAGUUGGUGGAUUUUGGCUUCGCUAAGAAGGUGGGCUUGGGGAAGAAGACCUGGACCUUCUGCGGGACCCCCGAGUACGUGGCCCCCGAGAUCAUCCUCAACAAAGGUCACGACAGCUCGGCCGACUGCUGGUCCCUGGGGAUCCUGGUCUUUGAGCUUCUCAGCGGAAGUCCGCCGUUUUCCGGCUCGGACCCCAUGAAGACGUACAACAUCAUCUUGAGGGGGAUCGACAUGGUGGAAUUCCCCAAAAAGAUCACCAAGAGUGCCGCAAACCUCAUCAAGAGACUCUGCAGGGACAACCCCUCGGAACGUCUCGGGAACCAGAAGAACGGCGUAAAGGACAUUCAGAAGCACAAGUGGUUCGAGGGCUUCAACUGGGAUGGCCUCCGCCAGGGAACCUUGGACUGUCCCUUUAUGCCAAGGGUGGACGGCCCGUUGGACAACAGCAACUUUGAUGACUUCCCCCUGGACACCGAGGGCCCUCCCCCUGAUGACGAGUCAGGCUGGGACCUGGAGUUCUGAAACAGCUUGGCCAGGUCAGAGGCUCAAUGGAGAACGCACAAGGGAGUAUAUGUGGCGCUGACGUCGGACUCAGUAUCAGUUGCAGCUAUUCCACCCUCGCCUGGCUGGAGCUGAGGGAUCAAUUGGCCAAAGCCAAGCUGUGACGUCUUCAUAACGUGACUUCCAACCGCAAGCAGAGGAGGUCUCUCACAUUUGGAUUCCGCUGCGGUGACUUAAGACUGCAAGACAGGAAAUAGAACAAAGGGUGCAUUUAUUAAAUAAAAACACACGGCUUUGGUAAUUCCAGCGACACACACAAAAUGCGCCCUGCAACAAUGUGAGGCCAAUUUCCUGUGACCUCUCAAGAUAAACAGUGACCCAUGCGUAUGUUUAGGAGAAAAGGCAAUUUAGCUACGCAGUUGCUAAAUGAUCAUAGUGCCAAGUAGCAAACCAGUGAUUCUGAUGUAUUGGUACAAUAUGACAAGUCGUGUGUGUUAUGAUUCAUAAUCUUAUUUUGUGCUGUUUGCCCAGUGUCGAGACCUGCCCUUGGGCUGUACUUUGUCAAGUUUCUCUCACCUCUGCAUAAAGUUUGUGACUGUGCAAAAAGCGAAGAUCCACUAUCCCCAGACUAUGUGCCAAGUAUGUUUGAGGAUACCCAGUCACUUCAAAAACCAAAACUCAAAUGAUCAAUGAAGAUCUUUGAGAGAAGACAAAAUCUCAAGCAGCGCAAUAGUGACCGCGAGAGGGCAUUGGCAGCAGCAGCAGCAGCAGCAGCAGCAGCAGCAGCACUUGUCAAUAUUUCCCAGUCUGUCCCUUGUGAAAAUGAUCAACUACCCGCUGGUGAAGAUGUGGUGCACGCUGAGAUUCGAAAAGAAGGCAUGGUGACUACUGCCACACAGACGGAUAUCACUGGGGAAGCAAUGGAUUCCCUCACUGCAGAGUGUAAAAAUCUGCGUGCGGAACUUGAUGAACUAAUUCGCCCAGCUCUUUGUUGAAACCAAGUUGUUGAUGUUGCUUGGCCCCUGGACUCUUCUUCAACCGCAGAUAUCUGAAAAACAUUUGAAUAAAAAUUGUUGUCACUA